GGGGCCAGUGCAACGCCGAUAAGGUGGCGCGAUAGAAAGCAUCAUUAAUUGAAAACACAAAGCAAUUCACGAAGUGAAAGACGCCGUCGUCGCGAUUCACUUUGCGAAAGAAAUUGAGACGUCGCUCAAAAGACGCAAGACUACACUACUUUCUCUUGGCAGAGGUAGAAAAAGAAAAAGAGAGAAAACAUUUCGAUGGCUUAAUAGCAGUCUUGAACGCAUGAAUUGCUAGUCGCAUCAAUCUCAAAGAAGACUGAAUUAACAGCCGAUCUAAACGCUCUUACGCAACUCUCACCACCAGCAAAUUGAUUGACAAUCGAUCGCUGAAUGACUGGCGAUUGCAGCAUGCGCAAGGGAAACGCAUUGAUCGCGAACUUUUGCCUUUCCAUUACCACCCCCGACAAUAUGUAACUCGUCGUUCAAUUAAUCGACAUUAUUACGUAAUGUAAUAUAGAUCUUGCGAAUCAAAGAGAAUGCGGUUCGCCUUCUUAUAAAUAUUUAUUUCUUUCUUCGAUCUUUUGAUUAGAUUUCCUUUUUCACCUCGAAAUCGAAAAAUCCCAACAUUUGUAAAAACUCGCAGUCAAAGAAUACAUUUAAGAAUGAUAAGAAAAGAAUUGAGAGAUUAAAUGAAACUGUAGCUUAUAGAAAAAGUCGAUUCAAGCACGAUAAUUAAUGUUAAUAGUAAUUAAGUGAUCGUUCAAACGACUUGCAUGUUACAUUGAGUGCUAUAAUCAUUAUAAUUUUUCAAAAAUUAAUGAAACUUCAAAUUUAAGAAAUCCCAGUAAGUACAUGACGUAUUUUAUUCGCUAUUUGUUCCGCUCACUAUACACUUUAUAAGUUCUUAUACGUUUUAGGGAAGAAAAGCGUGAGUUUUUUUUAGUUUUCUUUUCCCCCAUAUUAUAUAUCUCUCUUCCGUAAAUCUCUCGCAACCUUGAAACGCGCAUUUAUGUCAACGUGAUCACACACAAAGGAUCUCCUUUUCUCGACGUUCUUCCCCAAUCCUGAUCGAAAAA